GGUUUCAUUUAGAGUUGCAAAAAAAUUACGUUACAUACUGUGAGAGUACGAUAGAAAAAUACCUGUUUGAUUUUAUAUGUUUUUUUUUUAAAGAGAUAGGUAGUAUGAUAUUCGUUUCGUUUAUUUCAUUUAUAAAUAAACUUAACUGAAAAUAUGAAUCAACUAGGAUUCGUACUUGGGAUCUCGGAUACCAACCACCGAACCCUUUGAUUUUAUACGUAACAUUGCGUUUUGCAUAUUACGAUAUAUUUUCUGUGGUCCCAUCGGAAAACGCAGAAAUAUAUUUCUAUAUACUUUAACUCAAUUUUAUCUAAUAACGUCAGAUAGGUCUUAAUACCAAAUUAAGCCUUAAUAUUUUUCAACUUUUUCCUAUUUUAUUCUUAUUUUUUAAUUUGAAUAAUUUC
rnacentral:lncRNA from 1 species